rnacentral:pre_miRNA from 1 species
UCAUCAUCAUGAUCAUGAUGAUGAUCAUGAUCAUGAUCAUGAUCAUGAUCAUGAUCAUGAUCAUGAUCAUCAUCAUCAUCAUCAUCAUCAUCAUCA